rnacentral:rRNA from 1 species
CCCUCUGGGGCGCACCAGUAAACCGGUUUCUUCCCUUUAUAAACCCUGCCGUUGAGAUAGAGUUUGCCGAAUUCGUUGACGGUUGUCGCUUCGUACGGAUAGGCCAUCGUCAGAUAGGGAUUGUCCCAUUCGCCGAAAACACCAAGACGUUUGAAUUGCUCACGCUGAAUACUGACAUAUUUUUCCGCGUAAGCGCGGCAGGCGCGGCGCUUCUCCACCUGCGACAUUGCCGCCUUUUUACCGCCCAGUUCCUUAUCCACCUGAUGUUCGAUGGGCAGGCCGUGGCAGUCCCAGCCCGGCACAUACACGCCGUCAAAACCGGACAUGUUUGUCGAUUUAAUGACGAUAUCCUUGAUGAUUUUAUUGAGAGCGGUGCCCAGAUGAAUAUUGCCGUGGGCGUAGGGAGGGC